rnacentral:rRNA from 1 species
AUUGAACGCUGGCGGCAGGCCUAACACAUGCAAGUCGAGCGAGCGGCGGACGGGUGAGUAAUGUAUGGGGAUCUGCCUGAUCGAGGGGGAUAACUACUGGAAACGGUGGCUAAUACCGCAUACUAUCGGAUGUGCCCAUAGGGGAUUAGCUAGUUGGUGGGGUAACGGCUCACCUAGGCGACGAUCUCUAGCUGGUCUGAGAGGAUGACCAGCCACACGGGGACUGGGACACGGCCCAGACUCCUACGGGAGGCAGAAGUGGGGAAUAUGGCACAAUGGGCGCAAGCCUGAUGCAGCCAUGCCGCGUGUAUGAAGAAGGCCUUAGGGUUGUAAAGUACUUUCAGCGGGGAGGCGUUACCCGCAGAAGAAGCACCGGCUAACUCCGUGCCAGCAGCCGCGGUAAUUC